rnacentral:lncRNA from 1 species
UUUCGCUACACUCGCAUUAACAUCUGCUAACCAUGUGUAUGUGACAAAUAAAAUUUGAUUUGAUUUGAUUUGAUUUGAUUUGAUUUGAACUGUUCAGUUACCAUUUUAAUUUGUAACGUAAAUACCUGGUAUUUAGGGUUUAAAAAACCAACAACUCUGAACCAAAGCCUUCAUUAUUUUGGCAGGAGAUACAUUUUUUCUCUUUCUCUCUGAGGGGGUGUACUUUAAGUGGUGCUAAAUAUGCUGCAUGAUUCAUCUGUUGUUCGAAGAAGUCUAGUGAGAUCUAACUGUAUGCCUGCUCUCUUUCCGCAGGAGAAGAGGAGGAUGGGGAGAGAAUAGUGGAGAGUGGAGUCUUCUACAUACACAACCCUCUACACAGCAGUGUCUUUUUUCCUGGAUUACUGACCCACUGAAUGUGGCCCUGGCUCAAAUCACAAGACUUACUUCACUUCAGAGAAUGAGUUUGCUGUUUCCUGUCUUUGGAUGGACCCUCAUCUUAUUGGCUACCGAAAAGGGGUGUGGUCGUUGUGGAGCAAAUUAAUGAGAGAGAACAGUGGCAUGAAGACUUUCAGUGAUGUCUCUCCUCAGGUGAGAGGGUCCCCCAGGCCAGUCUUUUCGCCACCCAUUGCAACCUUGCCAUCCCCCAGCCCUGCAUCAUCAGAAAGGGACGAACCAGGACAUGGGAGGAAGGUGUCUUUCUUUGAUGAUGUCACUGUCAAUGUGUUGGAUCAGGAUCCACCGCUGGGGAUAAGAAGACUAAGUGCUGUCAUGACUGUCCUGACCAGGUCAGGUUACAGGAGACCACAACCCUACAGAUUAUCUCUCAACCCCAACAGAGGACGAGAGAUCUAG